rnacentral:rRNA from 1 species
CAGCAGCCGCGAGAAUACAGAGGCCUCAAGCGUUGUUCGGAUUCAUUGGGCGUAAAGGGUGCGUAGGUGGCUUGGUAAGUUGAAGGUGAAAUCUCGGGGCUUAACCCCGAAACUGCCUUCAAUACUGCUAGGCUCGAGGACUGUAGAGGAGAAUGGAAUUCACGGUGUAGCAGUGAAAUGCGUAGAUAUCGUGAGGAAGACCAGUGGCGAAGGCGAUUCUCUGGGCAGUUCCUGACACUGAGGCACGAAGGCCAGGGGAGCAAACGGGAUUAGAUACCCCCGUAGUCCCUGUCUCUUAUAC